rnacentral:rRNA from 1 species
CCUACGGGUGGCAGCAGUGGGGAAUAUUGCACAAUGGGCGAAAGCCUGAUGGAGCAACGCCGCGUGCAGGAUGAAGGCCUUCGGGUUGUAAACUGCUUUUAUAAGCGAGAAAUAUGAUGGUAACUUAUGAAUAAGGAUCGGCUAACUACGUGCCAGCAGCCGCGGUCAUACGUAGGAUCCGAGCAUUAUCCGGAGUGACUGGGGGUAAAGAGUUGCGUAGGUGGCAUAAUAAGUAGCUAGUGAAAUCUGGUGGCUCAACCAUUCAGACUAUUAGCUAAACUGUUAAGCUCGAGACCGUUAGGGGUAACUGGAAUUUCUAGUGUAGGGGUGAAAUCCGUAGAUAUUAGAAGGAACACCAAUCGCGUAGGCAGGUUGCUGGGACGGUUCUGACACUAAGGCACGAAAGCGUAGGGAGCAAACGGGAUUAGAUACCCGAGUAGUC